CCAGAUAUUAGACACGUGUCGUUAUAAGCGAACACGUGUAUAGUAACAUCGACACGUGUUCUGGUGAUUCGAAUAAAUGAAUAUGUUCGAUGAAAUACUGAAGUGUCUUGACAUAUCAACAUAUCAGGAGGAUGACUAUCGGGUAGUGUGAUCACAUGAAAAUAUUGAUUACUGAAGUGUCUUGACAUAUCAGGAGGAUGACUAUCGGCAGUCUGACUAUGGGGUAGUGUGAUCACAUGAAAAAAUAUUGAUCGCGUAUUCGGAUGACAAUUGGGUAUGAUGACUAUGGACUAACAAAGUUAAAAGGCUUGAUAUGAUUAUGUCCAAAAUCGAAAUAGUUUUUAAUCGACGGAAAUAUAUCUAACCCAGGCCUAUAAAUUAUUUAGACAUGAACGUCUAAUAAACCUAUAAAUCCAAAAACUUUUUGAUUAUAAAAAUAAAAAAAUUAGAAACAAUAUAACUGGUGACUUUUAUAAGAACGUUAUGAAUAAAUAGAAAAAAAUGCAGAGGAAUAAAAUUAUAGAAAUAAAAAAAAAAUUCUUUUUUUUAAACACUGAUUGAUUAUAUUGAUUCAAAAGAUUACAUCAAGAGUUUAUACAUAAGAACACAACCAUAAGUUCGGCGGAAUAAACAUAUAUCCCCGGAAACAUUAGCCCACAAGAGGGAGACAAGAUGAAACAAGAACAUAAACUGAGAGACUAACAGAGCACAAUCAAACUUCUAGAACAUCAAGGGACAAUCAACUAAAUCCAGAACACAUUAAGAACUAUAUAGCAUGUAGACUUUAAAAGAGAAUCUUGGGAAUAGACAAACCGAUGGAGACAAAGCUUGAUCAAACCACCGAAAUACGCAACCUCCUAUAGAGAAUAGCCCAAACAGGAUAGAGAACAAAGCUUCAAGACCCAGGAGACAACAGGACAAUCUAUUUCCAAGUCUUCAAACCGGGUAAGGCGAUGUCGAUGAGGAUACGACUUUAAACACCAACUUGAAACUUGAUGAAAAGCAGAUCUCGAUCAGAUCAAAUGGUAAAUGACAAGGAGCAGUUGCAAUCGACUCCGGAUUCUGUCGCAUGCAAAGGACAAGGAGACAGAAGAUCGAAACCAGAGAAGAACCCAAGAAAUCUCAAGACAUACAUGCAACAACAAAAGGUUAAAUAUACUGGAUAGAGAAUCAGAUCCACACAGAUAGAUCUAAGAUCUAACCGAAGACACCUAGAAGAAGAUUGUACCGAUCAAAAGUUUAUCUCAGUCACGGAAAGCAAAAGAAAAUCCGACUCUGGCUCUAAGAGAGCAGCCGGAGCCGGUGAUCGGAAAGAAACCAAGAACAGAUCUUAUAGAGAGAGGUCGGAGGAUAUGCACAAAAUGCCACCAAAAGAAAAUUUAUUCAUUAUCAGUUUUAGUUAGGAAUAAAUUUGUUAUAUAUUACUAUAGAAUAAAAGAAUGAGAAAAAAUAAGAAAGAAAAAUUAUUACUUAUAAAUGGUAAAAAAAAUUAGAAAUGCAUAAUUUUUCUUUAUUCCUUGAUCACCAAUGAGACCAAAAUCACAUUUUCUUACCAAAAUCACAAAAUCACAUUUUUCGCCAAAACCACAAGAUCACAUUUUUUCGCAAAAUCACAUUUUCUCGCAAAAACCACAAACCACGUUUUCUCGUCAAAACUGUAAAAUCACGUUUUUCCACAAAAAUCAUAAGAUCACAUUUUCACACCAAAACUAUAAAAUCAUGUUUUUCCGGUAUAACUAUAAGAUCAUCUUUUCACGCCAAAAAUGCAAAAUAAAGUUUUUACGCCAAAACUGCAAGAUCAUGUUUUUCCGCCAAAACCAUAAACCACAUUUUUACGCCCGAAAAUCAAGUUUUCCGCCAAAACCAUAUAAAAUCACGUAAUCCUAUCAAAAUUACAAUAUUAAUUGGUGUAGUUGAUUGGUGUUCAUAACCAUUAUUGAUCAUAUAUACAUAUAUUAAAAAUAGCAUAUAGAAAUUAUAUAAAUAUUAUAUUUUAUAUAAGGUUACAAUAAUUUUAUUACACUAGUUAAUAGAAUUUUAAAAAGUAAAUAAGUUUUUAUUUUUGUAAUAAAAUACUAAUAUUUUAUACUAUUUUAAAUUUUUAUUUUGUUUUUAUUUAUUUUAUUGUAUAGAUCGAAUCGGAUGUCCGGUUAAAAAUAUAUAAAAAGUUUUGAUAUCCGGUAGACCGAAUAGCUAUGGAUCAGAUCGAAACGGAUAAGUGAUUAUUUAGAAAAACCGUAUUGAAUCACGAAUACCUCCAAACCCAGACAUUAGAUAUGUGCCUAUCCUUAGUAUUAGGUCAUCUCCAAUCCAACUUCAAAACACUAUUUUAGUGUGAUUUUAACACUAUUAUAGUAUUAUGGGUUGGAGAUAGAAACGUAAGAGUUUUCUUAUAUAUAUAUAUAUAUAAUUACAGAAAAUUUAAAAUUAAGAUAUAUAUUUUUAAACAAAAUAGAUUAUAUGGCUCCUGCCAUAAGAGAAGCCAUUUCCCUCAGCAUCAUCCAUAUAUGGCUCUGUUUAGGCUCUCAAGUGCUCGAUAGAGCUAUCUUUUCACGGAGAUGCCGAUGGAUCUUUUGAGAGUGCUUUCAGACAUUAAUUUCCUUGUAUUUGCUUCGUCUUUUCCGUUUUACUUUUGUUUUAUUUCAUUUGUAUCAAGAAACUAUAAGGAAUAGGUCUGUGGACUAAACUAUAAGGAAUAUGCCCGUGGACUAAACUGCAAAAGCAAGUUUACUCUCUUGUAUUGAAUUUGGGCCUUAGCCCAGUCCCUUUCCUUUAUUAAAAAUGUUGUUUAAAAAAAUGAUUAUAAGGCAUAUAUUUGGAAAACGGUCAUUUCAUACCCAAUAUAUUGAGAUAUGUUCAAUUCAUAUCCGACUUAUGUGACUGUGCAAAAACAUACGCGUACUUUCGAAAAUUUCAAAUAGCAUACCUAUUGUUUAUCGUUUUGGCGAAAUCAUACACCAGUCGCCACAUAAGUUGUUAUGUCAUCUAAUUUUUCUAACGUAGAUGCUAAGUCAGCAAAUUUUGCUGACGAGAAUGCCACAUAUACAAGUUUUUUUUUUGAAAAAACAAAAAAUUCGUUUCAUAAAAAUAACUUUUUAAAAAUAUAAAAUUUUAUUUUGUAGUAAUAUUAACAAAACAUAAAUAAAUCAUAAAAAAUUAAUCUUAUACAAGAGAUAUAUUCAUAAAAGUUAUAUAAUAAAUUUACAUCAUAAAUUUUUAAAUGUAGCGUCCGCGUAUCCAUUGGAAUUCAGGUCGGAUUUUUCGGAUUUCGGUUCUAUUUUGUAACUCAUCCUCAGACCCAUCCUUGAAUUUAUGUAAGUAUGUAUCAAAUAUGUUUUGUAACAGCCUACAAGACUCAUUCGAGUAUUCUUUACAUUUGGGACCAGGUAUAGAUCGGGUUUUUCGGUUCGGGUUUGGUUCAGAUUUUAGGUCACAGAUUUUACGCCCAACUCUAAACACAACCAUGACUAACUGAUAACUCUUCUAAGGACGAUAUUGUGAUAGAACCAAAAUAUUUAAGAAUGUAUGUGUUAUACAAGACUAAAAUUUUAUGCUUUAAUUAAUCUUUGUUAAUAUUCCUUAAUAAUAAGAUUUUCUAAUUUCUAAAAAAAUAUUUAUAAAAAAUGACUAUUUUGUUUCUUUCUUUAAAAAAACUUGUAAAUGUGGUAUCAUUGUCAGAAAAAUUAGCUGAUUUAGCAUCCACAUCACAAAAAUUAGAUGAUAUAGCAGCUGAUGUGGCGUAUGGUGUAUGAUUUUGUCAAAAAGAUAAACAAUAUGUAUCUUAUUUGAAAUUUUCGAAAGUACGGGUGUGUUUAAAUUGUUUGUUAAAUCGGCUAUUACACUUUCAAAUUGUCAUGCGUAUGUUUAAACUUAGAUUGUCAUGGAUAUAUUUAAAUAAGUGUUGUGCAUAUAUUUGAACUUAAAUUUAUUUUAUAAUAACCUCAAAAUCAACUAUGCAGAGAUAUUAAUUUGAUUGUAGAUCUCUAUAUCAUUGAUGUACAUUUUAUUUUCUAAAAAAUAUUGAAAAAUGUUCUGAAUUAUAAAACCACAACAAAACCAUAUUUAGACUUCAAAAAAAAGGAAAACAAAUAAAGAGCUAAACUAAUAUUUAAAUUUUAAGUUAAUAAAAAUUUAUACUAAAUAUUUACUUUAACUAUUUCAAUUAUUAUUUUUAAAUAACAUACCGCUCGUAGAACGGACUGAUCCUAGUUAUCUAUAAAUAACAAUUUUAUUUAUGGAUAUUAGUCAUAAAUAUCGUUUGUGGUAUGUUGUAGAAUGGCAACCACACAUAGCGACGUUUGAAAAUAGUCACAAGUUCAAAGUUCAAAAAUUAUUUUGUAGUUAUUUGUAUCUACAAGUCAAAUCGUCAGGAAAACGAGUUAAUAGCCACAAUUUUUUUGGCUAAUUGUUUUUUUUUUUCUGGUAGUGAUAGUUCAUCUUAGACAAUGUAAGAAACACAUUACACUUUUUUAAUUCAAAAAAGCUAUACGGAUCCUACCCACCUUAUGUCAGAAAAAUAAGUGGAUGAACAUGAUGUGAAAUAUGGAAUGCUGAUGCAUUGACUAAGUUGAGGUGAUCCAUAAGUGUACAAUCUACCCACUAGAGAAAUAGCUACCUUGUUAGGUUGGUGAGUUAAUUUUUUUUUUAAAUUUGUAAUAUGUUUUCUUCUGCUUUCUUCUUUUCUCAUGCUUUUACUAGUGUUUUUUCUCUGGAUCUUAGCAAAUGUGGUGGCAAAUCUAACUCUUUUUCGGUAUGUAUGUUUCGGUUUGAAGUUCUCCAGUGGUGGUUGCUCUUCUAUGGUCUUUGAUCUAUAAGAACCAUUUUGGUGUUAAUGAGGUAAUUCACUCAUCUGUCGGUGCAGAAAUGCUGGUGGAGCUUUUUGGGGUGGAGUUUGCUAGUUCCACUGGCUAUGUCUAGUAUAACUCCGUUUUGGAGGACAGCGAGGGUACUUAAAGGGAGAAAUGCUGGUGGCUGUUCUUAGAACUAAGAUUCCAAAACCGAUCAGCUCUGUUUCUCCUUUUUAUGCCGUCAUGCUUUUUAAAAUGUCCAUUCUCUCGUAGUGCUUCGCCUAAGGUGCUUUCAUGUUUCUCUCGUAUACCGUCACUAAGCCAGGUGGUGGCUCAGUCACCGGUCGGUUUUCUCCUUUGUUAUGGUGGCAUCUCUAGCAGUGUUUAGAUGGAGCGAGAGACAAAUAAGUUUUGCUUUGGUUUUUUUUUUCUGCUCACUUUUAAGAUUGUAACUUGAUCCAUUAUGAACUUCUAGAGUGAUUGUUUUUUUUUUU